CAGCAGCCGCGGUAAUAUGUAGGUGGCAAGCGUUGUCCGGAAUUAUUGGGCGUAAAGGGCCCGCAGGCGGUUUCUUAAGUCUGAUGCGAAAGCCCCCGGCUCAACCGGGGAGGGUCAUUGGAAACUGGGAAACUUGAGUGCAGAAGAGGAGAGUGGAAUUCCACGUGUAGCGGUGAAAUGCGUAGAGAUGUGGAGGAACACCAGUGGCGAAGGCGACUCUCUGGUCUGUAACUGACGCUGAGGAGCGAAAGCGUGGGGAGCGAACAGGAUUAGAUACCCCCGUAGUCCCUGUCUCUUAUAC
rnacentral:rRNA from 1 species